GUCUUGUAUGGCUUUUUAUUCCUAUGUGAUUAUACAUCCCACUUCAUAUAGGGAUUGAAGCCGUGCAAUAC
rnacentral:miRNA from 1 species